rnacentral:SRP_RNA from 1 species
UUUUGGGCCCUGCGCGACGGUGGUCUGUGAACCCCGCCAGGUCCGGAAGGAAGCAGCGGUAAACAGUAACAACGGGUGCCGCAGGCAUACCUGAAAGCC